rnacentral:rRNA from 1 species
CCUACGGGUGGCAGCAGUGGGGAAUAUUGCACAAUGGGGGAAACCCUGAUGCAGCGACGCCGCGUGUGGGAAGACGGUCCUCUGGAUUGUAAACCACUGUCCCCAGGGACGAAGAUGACGGUACCUGGGGAGGACGCUCCGGCUAACUACGUGCCAGCAGCCGCGGUAAUACGUAGGUAGCGAGCGUUGUCCGGAAGUACUGGGUGUAACGGGAGCGUAGGCGGGGAUGCAAGUUGGGUGUAAAAACUAACGGCGCAAAUGGUAGUCGCACUCAAAACUGCAGCUCGUGAGUGAAGUAGAGGCAGGCGGAAUUCCUAGUGUAGCGGUGAAAGGCGUAGAUAUUAGGAGGAACACCAGUGGCGAAGGCGGCCUGCUGGGCUUUUACUGACGCUGAGGCUCGAAAGUGUGGGGAGCAAACAGGAUUAGAUACCCUUGUAGUC